rnacentral:tRNA from 1 species
UGGCUCAAACAGUACAGAAUCUGCCUGCAAUGCAGAAGACCCAGGUUCGAUCCCUGG